UACGUAGGGCGCAAGCGUUGUCCGGAAUUAUUGGGCGUAAAGAGCUCGUAGGCGGCUUGUCACGUCGGAUGUGAAAGCCCGGGGCUUAACCCCGGGUCUGCAUUCGAUGCGGGCUAGCUAGAGUGUGGUAGGGGAGAUCGGAAUUCCUGGUGUAGCGGUGAAAUGCGCAGAUAUCAGGAGGAACACCGGUGGCGAAGGCGGAUCUCUGGGCCAUUACUGACGCUGAGGAGCGAAAGCGUGGGGAGCGAACAGG
rnacentral:rRNA from 1 species